GACAGAGGUCCCGAGCGUUAGGCGGAAUCACUGGGCUUAAAGCGUGUGUAGGCGGAUCGUUAAGUGCCUUGUGAAAUCCCACGGCUUAACCGUGGAACUGCCUCGGAUACUGGCGGCCUCGAGGGAGGUAGGGGCGUGCGGAACUGUGGGUGGAGCGGUGAAAUGCGUUGAUAUCCACAGGAACUCCGGUGGCGAAGGCGGCACGCUGGACCUUUUCUGACGCUG
rnacentral:rRNA from 1 species